rnacentral:rRNA from 1 species
CACCGCGGUUAUACGGGGGACCCAAGCUGAUAGCUGUCGGCGUAAAGCGUGGUUACGGAUUACCCGCACUAAAGUUAUACGCCCCCCAAACUGUUAUACGCCGCCGAGGGCCGGAUACUCUUCCACGAAAGUGACUUUAAUACUUUUCCCGAACCCACGACAGCUACGAAA